UUGAAAAUUCGAUAAAACGGCGACGGAGUUGGAACGCAAGGACGCGUCGGCCCCGCUUAAUGAUUUCAUUCUGACGCUCGACGCGACCGGAAGUGGAAGCGUUUCACGCCGAGCUGCCCUAGGCCCGGGUCUGCCUUUCCUCUUCCGGGUCAGAGGUGGUCGCCAUGGCGGUGCUAGCUUCCAACCCCAACAACCCCGUGGUGUUCUUCGAUGUCACCAUCGGCGGCCAGGAGGUCGGCCGCAUGAAGGUGGAGCUCUUCGCCGACGUGGUGCCCAAGACCGCGGAGAACUUCAGGCAGUUCUGCACGGGCGAAUUCAGGAAAGAUGGCGUUCCUAUCGGGUACAAAGGCAGCACCUUCCACAGGGUUAUAAAGGAUUUCAUGAUCCAAGGAGGUGAUUUUGUAAACGGAGAUGGUACUGGAGUGGCCAGCAUCUAUCGGGGGCCCUUUGCCGAUGAGAACUUUAAACUGAAACACUCUGCGCCUGGCUUGCUCUCCAUGGCCAACAGUGGUCCCAGCACCAACGGCUGCCAGUUCUUCAUCACGUGCUCCAAGUGCGACUGGCUUGAUGGGAAGCAUGUGGUUUUUGGUAAAAUAAUCGACGGACUGCUAGUCAUGAGAAAAAUCGAACCUGAGGCUAGGAUUAAAAUCGUGCCGAGUCAGCUUAGAAGGGGCAGCCGCAGGUGGCAGAGAACCACUGGCGAUUCCCACGUCUCUGUCCCCAAGAGGCAUAACCUCUCAGUCUUUCUGCUUGUUCCUGGUCCUGCUGUGUAACCCAGCCAGAGAAAGUGAGAGAACCCAAAUGGAAGUGACGAUUGCGCAGCAAGGCUGCGAGAGAUCAUCUUUACCCUGGCCGCAGGCUCAGUCCAAGCCCUAGCCAAUGCCUUGGGUUUGGGGGUCUCCACCGAAGAAUCGUCUUCCCAUCGUUCUCAGACGAAACCUUACUGGGUCUCCAAAGAUCUCUGGUCUUCUCCAUGGUAACGUGCCCACCGGGCCGAAUAACAAGCCCAAGCUGCCAGUGGUGAUUGCCCAGUGUGGAGAGAUGUAGCCGGGGAGCCCCAGGUAGGUGCUGCUUCAGUUUGGGCAGCCAAAGCUGCUUUCUGGGAGGGGAGGGGAGAGGGAGAAGAGGGGCUCCAUGGGCAAGAAGGGAGGGGAGGGUCUCUGUGUCUGCUCGGCAGACGAGGGUGGGUGAAAACUGCAGGCACGCUUGGAGGAUGGGGAGGCCCUCUCAGAGCCAGGGAGCUGCUGAAAGACAGCUCAAGCACCGAAGCAUGCUCACAGAGCGAAGCGCGCAGGUGUCCUCCGUGUCCAGCUUGGCGCAGAGUCUCCCUCUCCGGAGGCCAGGAAACGGGGAUGGUGCUGCCCUGCCCUGCCCUGCCCUGGGACCCUCCUCAUCUGCAGCGCUGAGUGGGGUGAAGCCACCAAGGCAGGCCCUGCCCCAGAUGCUGCAAAAGUCCUCUUCGGACUUGGGAAAAUCCAGCGCUGGGACCAGGGUCUAACUGUCGGCCUCUUCC